rnacentral:rRNA from 1 species
UACGUAGGGGGCAAGCGUUGUCCGGAUUUAUUGGGCGUAAAGAGCGUGUAGGCGGCUUUACAGGUCCGUUGUGAAAACUCGAGGCUCAACCUCGAGACGCCGGUGGAAACCGUAAAGCUAGAGUCCGGAAGAGGAGAGUGGAAUUCCUGGUGUAGCGGUGAAAUGCGCAGAUAUCAGGAAGAACACCCGUGGCGAAGGCGGGUCUCUGGGCCGUAACUGACGCUGAGGAGCGAAAGCAUGGGUAGCGAACAGG